UACGUAGGGCGCAAGCGUUGUCCGGAAUUAUUGGGCGUAAAGAGCUCGUAGGCGGUUUGUCGCGUCUGCCGUGAAAGUCCGGGGCUCAACUCCGGAUCUGCGGUGGGUACGGGCAGACUAGAGUGAUGUAGGGGAGACUGGAAUUCCUGGUGUGGCGGUGAAAUGCGCAGAUAUCAGGAGGAACACCGAUGGCGAAGGCAGGUCUCUGGGCAUUAACUGACGCUGAGGAGCGAAAGCAUGGGGAGCGAACAGG
rnacentral:rRNA from 1 species